AUGCUCCCCACAUUCCUGCCCCAAGUUCGCGUUCGCUGCCGACCAAGACUGCGCGCAGGAGCCAACGGCCAUCCCUCUCCUCCUGCCCUUCCCUGGCUCGAUCCUCACCCUUCCUUCCCCGCGCGCACGACGCGCAGACCCAACCGCCGAGCGACCGCGAACUUCGCCGUCGCCAUGACGGAGUCGCGGCGCGCCGACAGCGAUGCCGCGCCGCCGAACCCGGCGCAGCGGAAGGCCGGCGUCCGCGACGAUUCCUCCCUCGUGCCCCGCCCCAAGGUAAUGCCUUUGCAGCCGCAGAUCAACGGCGCGGCGGCGGCCCAGGCCCAGGCGCAGCGUCCGUCGGGCGACAAGAGCAAGCCGACCAGGGCGAUGAACGGCGGGGCGAAGGCGGCGGCGGCGUCGCCCGCCGUGGAGUACACCGGCAUGGCCGCGGAGCUCGACAAGAUGAUCCAGGACCACCAGAGGGUGAAGGGCACGACGCAGAUGAUGCGCGCCACCUCCGGCAACAUGAUGAUGCACCGCAACCUGGGCAACCUGAACGCCGGCGCGUCCGCCCGCAGCUCGCUGGAUCGCAGCACCAAGGCGGCGGCGGCGGCCGCGAGCGAUCGGGCCAAGGCGGGGCCAGGGAGCAACGGGUACGCCUUCUCCGGCAUGGGGAACAUCGUGGGCAAGCCGGGCGAGCAGCUGUGCCGGGCGCUGUCGCACCGGACGGACCCGGAGAAGCUCAAGGAGAUGGGCAACGAGGAGUACCGGGAGGGGCACUACGCGGAGGCGGUGGCGCUCUACGACCAGGCCAUCAUCAUGGACCCGACGCGGCCGGCGUACUGGAGCAACAAGGCCGCCGCGCUGGCCGCGCUCGGCCGCCUCGUCGAGGCCGUCGCCGACUGCAAGGAGGCCGUCCGGAUCGACCCCUCCUACGGCCGCGCGCACCACCGGCUCGGCGGGCUGUAUCUCAGAUUAGGAGAACCAGACAAGGCCAUAAACUACCUGAAGCAGUCGCCCAUGGACUCUGUAAGCGCGGACGUUUCCCGCGCGCAGUCGGUGAAGGGCCGCAUCGCCAAGUGCGGCGACGCGCGCAAGGUCAGGGACUGGAUCACGGUGCUGCAGGAAUCCCAGGCCGCCGUCUCCGACGGCGCCGACUGCUCCCCACAGGUGAUGGCGCUGCAAGCGGAGGCGCUGCUGAAGCUGCAGCGGCACGACGAGGCGGACUCGGCGCUCCGCGGCGCGCCCAGGUUCGGCGCCGACGAGUCCACCAAGUUCUUCGGCACCACCGCCCACGCCUACGUCCUCAUGGUCCGAGCCCUGGUCGACAUGGCCGCCGGAAGGUUGGAGGAGGCGGUGGCGACGGCGCAGGCGGCGUGCGAGCUGGACCCGGGCAGCCGGGAGGCCGCGAGCGUGCACCGGCGGGCCAAGGCGGUGGCGACGGCGCGGCAGCGCGGCAACGACCUCUUCAAGGCGUCCAGGUUCGCCGAGGCGUGCGCGGCCUACGGCGAGGGCCUGGACAAGGGCGAGGCCGGCUGCGCCGUGCUGCUCUGCAACCGCGCCGCGUGCCACGCCAAGCUCGGCCGGCACGAGAAGGCCGUCGAGGACUGCAGCGGCGCGCUCGCCGUGCGGCCCGGCUACAGCAAGGCCCGCCUCCGGCGAGCCGACUGCAACGUCAAGCUGGAGAGGUGGGAGGCGUCGUUGAGAGACUACCAGGUGCUGAUCCAAGAGCUCCCCGAGAACGAGGACGUGAAGAAGGCUCUCGCUGAGGUUGAGGCCAAGCUCAAGAGCCAGAGGAAUUGA
rnacentral:rRNA from 1 species